GGGGACAUAGCUCAGUUGGUAGAGUGCUUACCUCAAAUGUACAAGGUCCUGGGUUCAAUCCCUAGCUCCA
rnacentral:tRNA from 1 species